CACCCACCAAAACUCGUUUUAUCGUCGCGUUAAAUGUUAUAACUAUAACUAUCCGGAGACUCGUGCGAUAGCGCGCUUCGGGUGUAUGAUCACAUUCUAAAUAUAGUCAGACAUUAAAAUCACGCCUCAGUCCCCUUUAGCUUUAUAUUGUGCUUGGUGUUUGAUGCUUACUGCUUACUACUUUACUCGCUGUUUGGUGGUUGAUGUUCCAAGACUAUCGGUAUCAUGGUGUAUGGUUAGUCAUUUUAUAAUGUAAUGUGUAGCAACCAGUAGAGUGUAGGACCUGACUAAUGCAAGAACCUCCACUAAUGUAGGAGAUGAUACCAUCAGCCAAACACAUUGACAAGUUAAGAGAACGCGUUCUUUGAUCCAAUACACAACAACUUCCACAUACUUUUCUAAUCUAAGCCUUACAAGUAACAAAUUUAAAAGUGAAAUGCAAGUAAGAGUUUACGUGCACACAUGAGUUGAUGUUGAACGAAUUGACAAUGCGUCAUAACUGAUUGUAACAAGCUCAACGGCGAGUCGACAGUCUGUGUAGUAUUAUAUCGUGUAUAUUAAAAAAUACAAAUCUUAUCUUUAGAUUUGCGGUCACGCGGCGGUAUUCCACCGUUGUGUUGAGUGUAAGUACUCGAGAUAAUCAAUUUUGAAGUACAUUACCUCUACAUGCUUGUUUUUACACUCAAAUCAUUUCAUUUUAUUAUUUUUUAACCAAAUAAUUCUGAGUCAUUUCAUUUCACGCUCCGUUUCAUUUUUUUUUGGGUCAUACAUUUUAUUUAUAAACUUUAUAAUGUAAUUAUCACCUCAAUUACGUGGCGCAAAUAAAACUUUGUAAUCGAUAAUGAUUUUUUUUUUUUAAAGCCAGAAUCGAAUGUCUUACUUUGCAGAUAAGAGGACAGUAAUUGUUAGGUCUUUUUUUUUUUUAAUACAAUGGUAUAACCUAAAUAUUUAUCUUAAAUGAACCCAAGUGUGACAUUCAAGGUCUGUUGUCUCAUCUAAUGACUUCUAAUGACGUCUAACACGUAUCAACACCUCGAGAUUAUCACUAUUUAUUUUCUUUUGUAGUUUUUUACCGUAACUUUAUUUGAAAUAAUGUAUUGCGCCGACAUAUAUUAUAAAUUAAACGAAAAAUGUCUCCGUCUAAUCUUUAGCUUCGAAAAAAGCAUUCUAAUAAAAUUAUUAAAUAGUAACGUACUAAAAAAGUCAAACUAAUAAAUUGAGUUUUAUAUUCUUUAGAGUCUAAAAGGUCUGGAAUGUUUUAAAGACAUAAUUACAAUUUGAAUAAAAACAAAUAGCCUGAGAGAUGAUAAUUAUUUAACAAAAAUCACAAAUGCGCGAGUAAAUUGUCGAGGUAUUUUUGCAAUGGAAUUCUUUGGAAAUACUUUAGACGUUGGUGCAAAAAGUUGAGGAAAAACUGAGUCAUUAGGCGAUUUAUCCUAAGAAACGUAAUAACGUUUAUUUUUUUUUUUUUUUUUAAUUUUUUUAUUUUUUUAUUUUUUUUAUCAGUAAAACGCUUCUCUGCUUAAUAAGUAACUCUUUUAAUAGAGAAAGAAACCACAUCCGUAUAAUUAAAUUAAAUAGUC
rnacentral:lncRNA from 1 species